UGGGGAAUCUUAGACAAUGGGCGCAAGCCUGAUCUAGCCAUGCCGCGUGUGUGAUGAAGGUCUUAGGAUCGUAAAGCACUUUCGCCAGGGAUGAUAAUGACAGUACCUGGUAAAGAAACCCCGGCUAACUCCGUGCCAGCAGCCGCGGUAAUACGGAGGGGGUUAGCGUUGUUCGGAAUUACUGGGCGUAAAGCGUACGUAGGCGGAUUGGAAAGUUGGGGGUGAAAUCCCAGGGCUCAACCCUGGAACUGCCUCCAAAACUAUCAGUCUAGAGUUCGAGAGAGGUGAGUGGAAUUCCAAGUGUAGAGGUGAAAUUCGUAGAUAUUUGGAGGAACACCAGUGGCGAAGGCGGCUCACUGGCUCGAUACUGACGCUGAGGUACGAAAGUGUGGGGAGCAAACAGGAUUAGAUACC
rnacentral:rRNA from 1 species